rnacentral:rRNA from 1 species
AACGAACGCUGGCGGCAUGCCUAAUACAUGCAAGUCGAACGAGACCUUCGGGUCUAGUGGCGCACGGGUGCGUAACGCGUGGGAAUCUGCCCUUGGGUUCGGAAUAACAGCGGGAAACUGCUGCUAAUACCGGAUGAUGACGUAAGUCCAAAGAUUUAUCGCCCAAGGAUGAGCCCGCGUAGGAUUAGCUAGUUGGUGGGGUAAAGGCCUACCAAGGCGACGAUCCUUAGCUGGUCUGAGAGGAUGAUCAGCCACACUGGGACUGAGACACGGCCCAGACUCCUACGGGAGGCAGCAGUAGGGAAUAUUGGACAAUGGGCGAAAGCCUGAUCCAGCAAUGCCGCGUGAGUGAUGAAGGCCUUAGGGUUGUAAAGCUCUUUUACCCGAGAUGAUAAUGACAGUAUCGGGAGAAUAAGCUCCGACUAACUCCGUGCCAGCCGCCGCCGUAA